GAGUAGGAGGGAGGGAUUUCUGAUGGGAUGGAAGAGUGGGGCAGCUUCAGGAUGUUCAGGACCUGCAUAAAAUGAAGUUUGGCACCACGUGUGGGUCACAGGUUGCAGAUUGCGUAUCUGUGAUCUAAAUUAUGCUUCUCACAAAUAGCUCUAAGCACUCAAAUGCAUAUGGUUUUAUCAUUAGGUCAAGAACCCUAGCAUAUCUUGAGGAGCAUUAGAGUUGGAAAGUGUAUGGCUAUUUAUAGGGCUUUUUUUCAGCCGGAACUCACUGGAACUCAGCACCUCUCAGGUGGGCGCCAUUGCCAUUUUAAGAGAACAAGGGAGGUGUUCGUGGUGAGUUCUGGCACCUCUUUCUCUAGAAAAAUAGCGCUGGAUGUUUAUAUGAGCACAGUGUGUGUAUUUGGUGAGCAAAUCCAUUGAAUCUGCUGGGUACAUUAAAAACUAACAAACACAACAACAAAAAACUCCUCAGUCAUAUUGGAUUAUAGUGUUUCUAUAUAUCAAUCUUGAAUAACACUGCAUACAAAUAAGAAAAUACUAAGUACCAAUGCAAGAAAAAAUAUAGUGAUAUGCAAACCAACCUUUCCCCCACUGCUUAAUUCUGGGAACUGGUUAACUCUGGGAACUGUAGAGAAAAACUUCCCAGAGUUCACAUCUAUACAAACAGCUUAGAAGAAGUAUUAGGAUUUUGCAUAAGCUACUGUUUUCAUGUACUCUCCUUCUCACAGUUGUCCACUAAUGGUAAGCCAACCCAUGGCUUAGUGUUAGCAUGUGGGCUUCCAGAAAUGAGAUCAUAGCUGCUUUGUUCCUCUUCUGGUCCUGCUGCUGUGAGCUUGCUCAUAGGCUUCAUGUGCUGCCGAAACCCAGGCUCAUAGUUUGUCUUGCUCCAGACAACUCAAGAGCUGUAACCAAGGUGGUUUUUUUUACUGGUUUGCAAUUCAUGAUUUAUCUGGACCAGACAAACCAGGAGUCCAGGUUUCGAUAAUACAUUAAGACAAACCAUAGCUUAGCUCAGAGCAGCUCAGCAGGACCAGGACCAGAGGGGAAGAAGAGUGGCUACAAUAUCCUCUUUGGGAACCCUCAUGCUUGUGUUUAGUGUGUGAACUGAACCAGUGUGCAUUACUGUGGGAAAGGUAGUAGGAAGAGAAAGUGGCAAAUGAGAAAAUUGGUUCUGAGCUGUGGGGCAAAAUUUGGGUUGGGGUAAGUUUGUAAUGGCUUGAUUAUUUUGAAAGUGGAAUGGAGGCAUCAAAAUUAAUUAUUUCAAUUUCUAGAAUAAUGUGAUGCUUUGUGAUAAAUGAAACCCAGUAAGGUAACCCUCCAUAUCUCCUUUGAUCUUCAUUUUAACCUGUAGGUUUUCUGUGUCCAAAUAAUUGAAUGUUGUUAGUGGGGGUUUUUCAUUUUUAAAUAAUUGUCAUGUUUAUUCAUUAUGUGGAUAAAAGUGUAACAGUAUGUUGCACAACACAACAGUGAAGAAAUAUACAUACACACAAGGCUUAAGUGUUUAACCUUGGUUAGGUUCUGGUUAAUGCUCAUGAUUCAGGAUCUACCCAAAUUAAGCAAUUGCUUUGUCUAGCAAAUAGUCCCAUAAGAAAAAUGAAUAGUAUUAAAUGAUUUCCCUCUGGUGACUGGAAGUAUAUCUUCCUACUGAUUCAGGUAAUUCUAAGAUUGUGCCUUCACUCUUUCAUGCUAGAAUGCUUUUCCAAUAAAAUAAAGUAGAAUGUAGAAUCUGCUACAUAAAUGUAAUAUUAACCUAGAUUUCUCUGAGGACCAUGAUAAAUGCUGGAGGUCCUGCCAAAGUCUAAAUGGGAAAGAAUAUUAAAAGAAUAUUAGUGUUAGAAUAGGAUGCAUGGGACUGUACAAAACCAAUAGGUGUUGAUUGGGAGUGGUACAAAUUCUAUAUUAGUUUACACUUCUAUUAAGAGAGGUUUGAAUGUAGUAGGUAAAUGAAUUCUAUAAAAUAUAACAUUUGGGAAAUAGCACUGAGAAACAGGGAACACAUUUUCUUCAUAUGCAAAAUAAUAGAUUUGAGAACAUGUGUAAAUGGUGUUGGUAGUGGUGUAUGUAUUUCUAGUGUGCUAUUUUUGAAAUCAUUGAAAUUUGGGUAAACAAUAAGAAUAGUAAUAAUAACAACAAGAAAAAUGGGUCAUGUAUUGUAAUGGGAAAGUAAUUCUACCUUUCUAGGACUUCCGUUGUUGAUGAGCUGAGGAAAUGCUCAUUUUUUUGUAGUCAUGGGAUAUUUGUAAAUCUACUGAGAUGCUUGUAUUAUUAAAAACACAAAUGACUGUAACUUUUUAUCACUUUACAUCAGGUUGAAAGUCCCUGUCAGUCUCACACGAGUAUGAAAGAUUACUCUAUAUAAAAUGUACUUUCUUUUAACUUCACUGUGGCUAAGUGGGAUGCUAGAAAUCCAUAGAUUGAUCUGUAUUCGUGCCUAGGGCUAAUAAUACAAUGCCUUCUUUUUGUAAUCUAAUACAUUUACUUUUUUGAGUAGCCUCUAAACUGAAAUCCCAGUAGCUUUUAUAAUGAAAAAUCUUUUGCUUCUGGCUUCCCUCCUCACAUCACUUCAAACCAUAAAAUGUGACAAUGAACAAACAAACAAAAAAAGCCUUUUGACUCCCAAAGGUUGUCCUUAGAAUUGUUUCUCCUUCCCUACCUCCAACUGUGCAAGAAACUUCAGAAUUGGUUACCCUACAUUUGUUUGUGUUGAGCUUGGAAAUACACAAACAUUUGUACAUAUUUCAUAAGUCACUUUGUACUACCUCAGUUGAUAUCUCUCACUGUGUAGGAAUGUAUUCUUUUUGCACAAACGUUUUAUUGUUUAGUCCUUCUAUGUGUUCUCUCUUGCUAAUGGUUAUGGACAAAGCUACAAAGUAACUGUUACAGGCAGUAAGGAGUUGAUAACCCAUUGGGAAAAACAGACAGUGCUGGUGCUGCUGACCAAGACAUCAUUUGUUUGCGCUAUCACGUAAACAAUGUCAGUAUUUCAGUGUAGCGAGCAUGUGUUUAUCAGGAUUUUCUAUUUUAUACUCCUGCUGUGAGGGGAUUUUUUUUUUUAACUUCAUAGUUUAUGAGCUGUCAUUUAGCAUCACAGAUGAUGCCUUUGCUUCAUAGCCAUUAAUAUAGUUUUAUCAAUAAUUUGCAAGGGUGUGAUUCUUUUCUGGCCAUUUGGCAAAUGAUAGAAAACAGAAAAGUAAUGACUGAAUAAAGUGUAAAUUUCAAAACAAGAAUAAUUAUUACUUUCAGAAUAAUCUGCUGGAUAAAACAAACAGUUGCCUUUAACUUCCUCAAUAACAGGCAAGAUUAACUAAGGAGAGACAGACAGACAGACAGACAGACAGAGAGUUUACUUACUGUAUAUUUUAUCAACUUGACUAGGGAGACCUUAAGGAGCCUCUUGCUUUUUGCUAGUCACUAGCCAAGCUAUUCUCUGCUACUUUCUGUAUUGGAAUGGAAAGGGCAUUAUUGUAUCAUUGACCUCUUAUCCUUUAAUCAUGACUUCUUCACAGGGGUGUCAAUUGUUGGAUAAAUGUGUCAGGUUCAACCUUAAGCAUAGUAGUAGAUUAAUAUAAAUGGAUGUCAGGAUCUCACACUGGUAGCAUCCUAUGCCACUCUUCUGUUAGACAUGUUUUGAACAAGGGAUGUCUUUUUUCAGUAAAACUAUAGCUCUUUAACUCUUGCCUCAGCUUGUAUCUGGGGCCAGUCCUUUUUAUUUUUUAACUUCUUUUUUGGCCUUGAUGGAAAUGACCACUACAUAUAUUUGUUAAAGAUUUCUGCUAGAAUGAUAAGCUAUCUAUUGGCAACUGCCCAACAUUCCUAUAAUUUUCCUGUACUUUCAUAAUGGUUCUAGGCUUGGAUAUAAUUUUUAUUCCAUGUCUUUUAAUCACAUUUUAAUGAAUGUUCAGUGUUAUGGGUAUCAUGUAUUUUUAUUGUUAUAUUCUUUUAAUUUUAAUAUUUUUAUAGUGAUUUUUAUUUUGAAAAGAUGCCCCAAGUGGUGUAUGAGCAGUAGAAGAGCUGAAUAGAAUUUUGUAUUUAUCAGUAAAUCAACCUUUUGUUGUGUCUCAUUCUUUAUGGUGAACGUUCACUCUGUGUGUGUGUGCGAGUGUGUGCAUGUUUUAAUUCAAAAUAAAAUUAAAAUAGCCAACAGCACUUAGAAUAUAUUAUCAGGAAAGUAUUGUCAAGAGGCAAUCUGUGUCUAACUGCUACUACAAAAGAUAAAGUCAUUUUUCACCUGCAUCCUAAAGAUAGUAGGUUUGGAUAAGGUUAUGUGUAAAAGCAGUGUGGAGUUGCAGAGAUGUUUAUAGUCUCUGCUGUUUUUAUUGUUUCUAAGGUGUGUGUUUUAACGCUUAACAGUUGAUUGACAUAUUUACAUUACUUGUUCCUAGUCCUUCUUCAAGAAAUUGAAGCAUCACAGUAUUACCUACUAGAAUAUUGUGCCUAUGAAAAUAAUUUCAAUGAUAGCUAAUAAAAAUACUAAAAGCUCAAUUGACUCAGGCAUCUAAUAAAGUCAAAGGAUUUAUUAAGGCCUCAAAUUGGCCAACCUUCUCUGAGAAUCUUUAGGUUUCCAGGAGCUUUGGGAUUUCACCCUUGUGCCUUUGAAAAUUAAAUAUUUAAUAUUGAUUUGUAUGUGCUUAUCAUGGACUGUACUUAUCAUUCAUUUGGGUUCUGUGUCAGAAUUCAUUGGGAAGAAAUGACUAACGUUGCUGGCCAAAAUAAACCUCUCACUUCCCUUUAACGCCAGGGAUUAUGAUGGCAUUACCAUUUCAGCAGUCUCCUAGCCCUGCUUGUGUUAGAAUUGCAGCUUGAUAUUGUGCAGAUUAAUCCAGGCAGAGUCCUGUUUUAUUAAUUUGCCAGCAGUGAUAUUCUUCUUGGUUGAACAAUUACUUUGAGUGACUUAAUGUGCAGGACUAUGAGGAAUUCUAAUAGGAGAAUAAUGCAGAUUAUUUCCCUCUUUUAAGAAAGAUUUCUGAAAUGCAUAUAUGCAAAGAUUUUAUUCUAUAGGAAAAAUAUAUUUAUUGUUUAGGAUAAGAAUAUAUUUUAUUAACCUACAUGUAAGCUUCAUAGUAUUUCAUUCCAAUCUAUGAUCAUUCCUUGCCCAGCAUGCUUCCUCUUUUUUGUGAUCAUUUGUAGAAAUAGCAUUGCAGAAGCUGCAGAAAAUGGAAGAGAACUUGAUGCAUGGAAGAAAGAAGGAAGGAAGGUGAAAAUUAUUUUGCAAAGAGCUUAUCUUGAAGUUUUAAGAGCCAUAGGUAUCUAAAGGGAACAAGGUAUAAGUGAUAUAAUGAAUAAGAUAAAGGACAAAUAGCAAUUGCAUAGCAUUUUUCAGCUGUUGCUUCUUCGGAAUAACUAUAGCACAGUGGUAAAAUAUCUUCUUUGUAUUCAGACUCUCCAGGUAGGGCUGCUGAAUAUUUCUGUUAGAACCCCUGGAGAGUCGUCCGGUCAGUGAAGACAAUACUGAGCCAUAUGCACUCUGACUGUAUAAGGCAGCUUCCUAUGUUCAAACCUCUUCUUUGUUCAAUGCUUUUGAACAAUUAGAGGAAUAAUUAUGAAAUGUUUAUGAAGAACCUCAUUUGGAUACUUGCUGCAGUUCUGCAAAAAGACUGAUGCUUGCAGAAAUGUCUGUUAUACUCUAAUUCUGUUGACUGACAAUAAUGGAGCUAGUUGGGUCAUAGCUAUCCAACAAUCUAGCCUGUGACUGAGCAGGGUACUCACAAUUCUUGAAAUCUCAGCAGCUGUUGAUACCAUCAACCAUUAUAACUUCCUCGAUCGGCUCUGUAGGAUAGGGAUGGAAGGCACUGUGUUACAAUGGUUCUACUCCUUAACUGCAAGACCAGUUCCAGAGAAUGGGGUAUGUGUGGCAACUUCUGCUUAGCCCCAUCACAUUUAGGCUGUGGAGGCCUUUAUGGUUUCGCCUUUCCCCCCAUGCUUUUUGACGUCUACAUGAAGCCAUUUGCAGCGGUCAUUAGUAGUUUGGGAGUGAGGUGUCAAUGUUGUAUGUAUGCUAAUAACACAGAACACAUGUCACUGGAAGUGGGUGAAGUCAUGGAGGUGCUGGAUCAGUGUCUGGAUGCCACUGUGCUCUAUGGUAUUCUAGUGUCCCCCUUUGGACUAUUGCAUUGUGGUCUCUGUGCCCUUGAAGAUGGUUUGAAAGCUGCAGCUGUGCAAAAUUCAGCCUUGAUAGUUCUAUUAGAUCUUUCUUUAAAAAGAAGAAAAAGUGAUUAUUUAACAUAC
rnacentral:lncRNA from 1 species